CCCGUUGAAAUUCAAAUUUUAACAUAGUUCGAACUUUGUAUUCGUGUUUAGUACUCGAUUUUAUUCGACGAUGCGUAUUCAACAAAGAUUUUUCCCACAGCUAAGACAUCUGUCGUAAUGAGUUGCAUCCUCACGUUCAUUUCCUUCCUUCCUUCCUCUCAUUUUUUAUCAACUGACUUUUUCGGAAGACGAUAUAUAUUCUUACAUGACAAUGCAACUUUUGUAACUUACCUUUUACAGCUUCCCGAUGCCCGUAAGAUGAGACGUCGAAUAAAAGAAUCCCAGGAUUAAAUUUGAGAUACGAGUUUUUUCUCAAGCAACAGUAUCAAUCUAAACGAUAACGAAAAUCAAAUUAGAAUUCGAUCAGAAUUUACGAUCUGACGAUUCGAUAUUCGUUUGUAUCUUAUGUAUUCGAGUAUAUAUAUAUAUUAUGUUUAUGGUGUUUGUUUCCUUUGUUCUUUAUAUCCCCACCAUUACAGCCCCCACCAUUUUUUUACCGGUCUUGAAAUGUAAACUAGCAAAGAAUACAAAUGAGAAGAGUGAGACGAGUAUUUUAAAAAGCAUUCGAAAAAUCUUAUUUACCGUAAAGGCAAGUCCAAAGUCCAUUUAACCACGUGGAUGAACUAACCCGAGAAAGAAAAAGAGAAAGAGAAAGGGAAAGAGAAAGAAGAAAAAGAAAGAAGGAACGAAUUUUAUUCGAGACAGACAGAAUAUUCUUUCCUUUUUAACGAUUCAACGGUAGAUGUUUUGUCCAAGAUACUUUUUCUAAGGGUCACCUGACAAAUAUUUAGCUUUAUCGUGGGCAUCAUAAGUUAUGGGAGACCGACAAAAGUUUCGUGUGAGGAAACGUUUCGAUUUGUUCAAGGCAUAUGGGCAGCUACGGUAGAUUAAAAGGAAAUAGUUAGAAAUCAGUGUAUGAAAUUAAUUACUAUGGUUUCAAGUUCAAAUAAGGAAGAUCCCCAUAAGCGUCAUAUGUCGUUCAAUUUUCCACGUUUUCCAUAGCACCGUCCAUAUGGGGAAUUUGUUCGACGUCUUCUUGACAUCAUAAAGCUGUUACGUGAUCAUCGUUUUAAGAAAUGUGUAACACAAUUUAUGAUAAUUUUAUUCUUGAAUAUUAAAAAGAUCCAGAUAAGCAAUAAGAUGACCGAUCACGACAGAUUAACUUCAAUAUUUCAAGCGAGUUAAAUGAUGAUUUAUUGAUCAAACAAAUCGAAUUAAUUUGUUUUUAUCAACAACGGAUGGAUUGAAAUUCAUUCAAAAUCUAAGGAUCGAAAUACGUUUGCGAAUACGCAAAUGAGGAUAUAUGUGCGUGUAUAUAUAUAUCGAUGAAUGGAAAAUACGCGACAGACAUCCACCAGUUAUACAUCCAACAGUUAGUGAGACAACUAGAAAGGUGACUAGAAAGAUGCGAGAUGUGAGAUCGACUGAAUGCGGUAGCAUCUGCCACUAUCGUUUUGGAGUUUGUGCUUCCCAGGCUCCCGAGAUGCACCUGGUCCUCCGUCUGGUUGCCGGUGCAUUUGCUUCUUCUCUUCUCUCUUUCUUCUUUCUUCCUUUCUUUAUCUCUUUCUUACUUUUCUUCGUUUGAUGCGGAUAUGUUCUCUCGUAAAUUUAAAUUCAGUGAAUAAAAACGAAUAUAAAUAGUAGAAAAAAGGGAGAAUAUCCUAAAUCUGUCGAAUAAAAAUAAACCCACGCAAGGCACAUCGUAGAUAGAUGUAUCAAUCGUUUAAAUUGAAAAAUCAAAUUUAUCGGUUGUAUUAGAUUUUCUUUUUUUUUUGUUUCUUUUUAUUGAAAAGUUAAAACAUUGUGGAAAUUAUUAUUCUUUGAAAGACUCGAAAUAAAAACUUAUUUAAUAGAUUGUAUAAAAUGAGAGAAGACGUAUUAUAGGGCUGUGGAACAUAUGUUAACCAAAUAUAAAAAAAUCUUUUUUUAAACAAAAAGAAAAAUCUUAUCCAACAACUGACUCAAUAUUUAUCUACCAAUUCCAAUAUUGUACAAAAUCAAUGUUGACAAUCUUCUAAACAAUUUUGAAAUAAAUUUUGAAACCUUUAAUAAAUAAAGGAAUUUAUUAAAAAUCAAUAAUUAAGACUGCGAGUAAUAAAAAUUGAAAGAUAAAAUCGUAUUCGUCGCCCCCACGGGUCGAUUAGGGGGUUGGUUUCGAUGCUCGUGCCGGGACCGAGAAUGUGGCAUUAGUAAAAACGCGAUAUUGUCUGACUCAACAGGUUGCCGAGACCCUAGAGGCCACCAACCACCCCCUGACAGCUACGGUGCGCCACCCCAUCGACCACCCCAUCAACCACCCUAUGCGCCGCCUACACUUUACUCUGUAUUAAAUAAACCUGACGAUGGGGUGAUUUCUCUUUUUUUCUUUUUUUCUCUUUUUCUCUCUCUUUCCUUUUCUGUUUUUCCCUUUUUGUCAAUUGUGAAAAGGGAAUCGGAACUCGUGUAAUCUAACUUAUCGGUCACCUAAUCGAGCGUUCCACCUUUAUCGUUUAUGAUGAAUUAUA